rnacentral:rRNA from 1 species
UGGGGAAUAUUGGACAAUGGGCGAAAGCCUGAUCCAGCGACGCCGCGUGGGUGAAGAAGGCCUGCGGGUUGUAAAGCCCUUUCGGUGGGGAAGAAAAGCCUCGACCUAAUACGUCGGGGUCUUGACGUAACCCNUAGAAGANGCACCGGNUAACUCUGU